CUGACUCCGACUCCCAGAGGGGUUCUGAUUCAGUUGACCCGAGCUUCAGAAGUUUUAAUUUUUAACAAGUAGCUCAGGUUCACACCAGAAUUCCACCUGUCUGGCCAACUGGGGAUGUCAGAAGAGGCACAACAGAUUGUGCAUCCAGCUCUGGCUGUGGACCUGUGGUGUCGUGAUGACCUGGGAUCAUCAGAGAGCAGGAGGCCAUUCCCUUUGGUGCCUCUCAUUCCCUGUGUGCUGGCCAGCACAUCAUUAGGCCUGAUGGAAGGCUCUGCCAGGCCCUUCCCCACCGAGGGCCUCAUCAAGUUUCCUUGACAGCUACUACGAAAAGAAAUGAGUGAGUUAUUUUGGUGAAACUAAAUACCUAGUUGGCUAAGCCUAACAGAGAAAUGCUACUGCUGAACCUCAGAGAAGCUUGGGGGCCACCGUGGCCACGUGUGCAGCCUGGAGAACUGAGCCGGACUGAGUUUUGCUGGGAGUGACAGUAAAAUGUAAGUAGAAAAAAAAUCAAGUUAUUGGGGACCUUGCCCACAAGGGCCAUGGAAGGACCCCUCGGGUGAACAGAGCGAACCUUAAGACCCUGUCUCUGGGAGGCAGGUGACACCGAACGCCUUUGAGUCUGGUGUCCUUCGUCUGCUGCAGCCCAGUGUCUAGCCGUCCUGGCUCAGUGAAAUGAGGCAAGUGAAAGAAAAUGCUCAGGAAAGCAUCUGGGCAUCUCAGAGAGAUGGCCCAGGCCCUUGGCCUCAAAGAUUUUGAAUGAAUUCUGAGCCUCUUCUCUUCCACCUCAUCCUGCUCUGGGACAGGCCAUCGAUGCCUAACAGCGCCUGCCGCUCAGGGCCGUGGAUGUGUUGGCCUCGCUGUCACGCCCCAUCUGUGGCUAUCAGGGAACCGUCAGCAUGCUGCCCCGCAGACCCAGUCCACUGACGCAGGUGGCCAUGCUUACGGCCCAAGGGCGUCUUAGGAGAGCAGUUCUGCAGUUGUUUGUUUCCUCCCCCAGGUGUGCAUCAGCAGGGCCUCAGCCGGGGCCGCAAGCCUGGAAGGCCCUUGGCAGUGUCCUCAGUGCACACAGUCAUCUUCCAUCUAGCUGUCCUAAUGUGAGGUGGUGUCUCACUGUAUCCUGCGCCGUUUUGAUGAAGGAACAUCAGGUCAUGCUUCCUCUGCUGAACACCCUCUCAAGAGUAUAAGCCUCGGCCUUCCUGGUGGCCUCCCAAGCCUGAAGGAUUCCCAGUGACCUCUGGCCUCAUCUCUGGAUGAUGCCCUGUCCUUCCCCCAAGCUGUUUCCCAAGCCCAUCUAGCAGCCCCGAUGUCCUUCUGUCUCUGCCUGAUGUCUCCGCUUCACCGGUACUUCAUAUAAGACCUGUGUCUUUGGGAUUUUCCAUAAUCUCUUCUGGUUUGCUGGGGCCUUUUUGUAAGAGGACAGCCUGUUCCAUGGAGAUGUCGUUCAUUUGCUGGGAGCUGCCCUGAAGGAAGGAAUCAGGAGGGAAUAACCGAUACAGAUUUGUAGGCGUGACUUUAUUUUGUAACAGGGAUUUUAGAGUUUAUAGCAGGAAGAAAGCAAAGGUGAGUCCAGGGCUCUUGUUGCCUGGGUAAAGAGAAAUUGAGCUCGGGCUUCCAGAGUAAGAAGGAAGUGUUAAGCGAGUGACCAGCAUGUCUCCUUUGGAGAACCUCUGGGAGCAGCCUGGGGGAGAGGGAGCCAGGCCUACAAAAUGUCUCGAAACUGCCUCUGGGGAAGCCAAAUCUAGGGCUCACCCUCCAGGAAAGAAGAAAAUUUUGGAUGAGCAGAAACAAAGUCUUCCUGGAAUUUAAACGUGGACCCUGCAUUUCUCUAAUCGCUUUGCGUAAAGGAAUAUUUUGUUGCUUUGGAAAAGAAGCAGAAACUUGUUUAAAUGUGUGUUUUCUUUUAAUUAAUUAUGUUUUUCUAAACACUAAAGCAUCAUGACUUUGUGUUCCCUCCUCCCCACUUCCCCUCUCUUCUCUCAGCCCUUUUCCCCUUCUCCCUGCUCCCUCCCCCUAGAAAGCAUAGACUGGGGCUGAACUAGUUCAUGGAGACCAGCCUUCACGCAGGGGAGUCUGUGGGACAAAGGGUCUUCUGCAAUCAUGCUGUUUUAGGAAGAUUAGGAAAAAUGAAUAACUUCCUUGGAAAAAUUGGUUUGGAGGAUUGUUUUCUUCGUUAGACCUCUGGAAAAAAUUCAGUGAUAUUGCAUGAAGGGAAAAGAAUUAAUACAGCUCUUCCUCCCCUUUUCUUUAUUUUUAUAUCCAGGAGUCACUGGAAAAAUCAGACCUUUUCCCAUAUCACAGACCCAGCAGCAGUUUGGGCGUGCUCUUGCCUGUAUAUAGAAAGCAUGUCAAGACCGAUUAAAUUAUCUAAUUAAAAUAAUGACCACAGAGAGCCUGUUUAUUUUGGCCUGAAGAAGGUCAGCUCCAAGGGCCCCUUCUGUCCUGCUGAGGGUCCCUCCUCAGCCACAAGCACACACAAGACCCAUGAUGACCUGGCUCCUAAUAACCUGCUCCCAGACACGUCAGAGUGGGACUCAUGCCACCAGUGGGGACAGGACUCAUGCCAGCUGGGACAAAAGACCAAUCUUUAAGACUCUAGACGUCCGUCUGUCUUUGUAUCUGUAUCUGUAUCGGUAUGGGUAUCUGCGCUGAUACUGUACUUUGUAUCAGUCUCUGUAUCGAAGCAGAACUUUGUAUCAGUCUCUGUUCACCACAGCAACUUGAAGUGUGAGAAGUUCUGGUAAGGGUUAUUUUUCAUCUAUACAAACAUGGACAAUUGUUUGACUCAGCUGACUGUAGUCUUGGGUCCUUUUUGCAUCGUGAAGAUAAAACCUCCACAGAGCAUGUUGACCGGUAACAAGUGAAAAAAAAACGCUGCCAGAUAUUUUUCUUGGUGGUGUUUACACAGGGCUAGGUAAUUGUUUGGACUAAUUUGUUGUGAGAUUGUUGGGCUGUCUUGACAAUGUGCAGCUCAGCCUGAAGGGCACAUUCCCGGGACCCUGUGCCACCGUGAGGAUGCAGAGUAUUAAUGAGGGCUCAUUCCAUCAGGCUAGAUCAGGGUUCUUUGGCCUGCGGUAAGAUUUGGGGGCAGAAUGUAAAUAUGCUGCACAUGGUUUAAUUUCAGGGAAGCCCGGGAGGAAUGCACUGAGCCUGUCAUCACUGCAAGCCCAGCGCAGGGUGUCAGCCCUGUGCAGGGUGUAGAAAUGUUUCUAUGGGCUUCAGAGACUUGCUGUUUGGUCUUGCAGUGAUUGAACAAAGUGCUCCCUUUUCGGGUGGUUGGUUCAAUAUCCUGUAAGUCCUUAGAAUGGAGGCCACAGCCUUGGAAAGCCAGAAUGUAAAGCCUCAUUCUUACUUUCUCCCACGGUCCCAGGAGAUGACAGUUGGAUGAGCACUCUGCAGAGGGGCGCAGGGAGGCAGCCGUUUAUUCAAGGGAAGGGGAAAUGUUGCAGCAACAGUCCUGCCAUUGCAAGCUGGGUUGCCCCCCAUGAAACUCAAGGAGGCAUCUCAGCAAGUUUCAAGAUUUCCAUCCUCCUGUAGCUGGGACUUUCGGCUAAAGCUCUAGGAACAAGGACAUGACUCGGGACUGGCUAUGGUUACGAAGAAGCUGAGAAGCGCACAGAACUCUAAGAAGCAGGCACAUUUGGGAUUUGCUAUCAAUCUCAAACCCCAGCAGCCCAGCCUGGGGUCCCUGUCAGGUUUCUCACUAGUGGGGAAGACCUCAGGUCCAGGCGACUGUUAUCCGGGAGCAGGAGCUGGUUCUUUCCUUUUGGACUCCUGGGUGUCAGGCUGGCUCAGUUCUGCAGCUUCGGGACAUCAAGCAGGAGGUUGGUGUCACUUACUCUGACAUGUGAUGUAGCUCUAGACUGUUCCAGGCUUUCUGGUGCGUUUGUUUAACGGGAUUUGCCAUCUGGAGUUCAGAAAGCUGACUGAUCCAAAGAGAGGGAUUUUGCAGUGGGCUCUUCAGUUUUCCGAAGCUCAAGUGUAGCUUCUUUCAUCGUUCUUUGCGACGGCCCCUGCUCCGGUGUAAAUGACAUGUUAGGUCACUUAGUUCUUCAAGGACGACAGGUGCCUGACCACAGGUGUGGAUAACACCUGAAGUCCCCACGGGCCUAUUGCCACUGCUCUCAGCCUUCUGCUGGACUCACAAACUUUAUGAUGUUGCCAACAGGCACUUCUUCCCCUGGCUCCUCUUGGAAGCAGCUAGGACCUUCAUCAGGAACCCAGCUAAUAAAAAAACCACAUUAUUUCCUCAUGCUGUGGGAUAGCUCUGACUCAUGAUCAAUAAACCACACUGUACUGUCUUUGGAAA
ensembl:lincRNA